CCGCCGCCCCGCCGUGCCCCGGGGCCGCGCUCGCCAGCGGCGCCAGGAGCAGGAGCUGAGAAAGAGCGCAGGAGCAAGACGGUCACAGGCAACUCUCCAGCUUCUUUCCUCAACUCUAGUACCAACAUCCAGUGUUUGCCUGCAGAGGCUGAGCUUCUUGCUCAAGGAAAGAAAAGCUCUUGUUUUCUGAAAGCAAGCUAACUAACUCCUAAUGGAUCUUUUCUGUGAACCAGACUAGAGCCCACAUAACUUCUAUCAUCCAGCAAAGUGCUCCUAAUGUUCGUCUUACCUGAGCUGUGUAUGAAGAAUCACCUUCUUUGAUUUGUUUGGAACCCAGAUCCCAUUUCAUUGAUUUUCUUCAGUUCUUGCAAUGAAAGCGACUGAGGUCACUAGUGCAGCCUCCCGCAGUGUCAGCAUUGAUUUUAGAGCAGGUAGCCCAGGCCUUUGUCUAGGUAAGGAUGUGAAAAUACUCCAAGGACAGGAAUUCAACAGCUUAGCAAUUCAACUCUUAGCACCUAGUUCCCAUGUUCCUGUGGUGAAAACACUUCCAUUAUAUCAAGUUAGAAACUCCCAGUUUCAAUUUGUCACCGUUGUCAUAUGACCAAAUCUUGAGUUGAUGCACCAUGGUACUUGAGCCAUUAUCACAUUAUCACAUACACCUGCAAAUUACAGAGAAAUGCAUUAUUGAAAAAGCGUGUUUUCUUACAGUAACUUGCAGAGCUCUAUUCCAAGAUUAGGAUCAAGAUGAAAACUUAGUCUAGAAUGAUAAAAGUUCACAAGCUGACUUGUUUUGGCCUCGUCAGGGGGUAGGUUUGUGAUUUAGAGCCCUGGAGGAGGAAUGCCUCCAAGCAUCAUUCAUUAAUAAGGUUACCAGAUUCUUCUGGCUUUUCUGGGGGUUUUUUUGGGUUUGUUUUUUUUUUUUUUUCUUCCCCCAGGCUCUGGUUCCAGUCCUCCCUGGCUGAUAUCAGACACUUUUCUAUUACAUAUCAUUCAUUGCACUUUAGAGGCACUGUCUGGAAGAAGCUAUUUGGGGUAAAAUUAGGACUUUAAGGCCACAAUAUCAGGAGCUCAGCUAAAGGAAGUGAAAUAUGCUCUUCAACAAGGGUCUCAUAAAACCUAGGAUAUUUGAGGCUGCCUUUGUUGAUAACAGGGUAAUUCAAGAAGACAUCAUGAGGUCCCUGAAUACUGCAAGUUUGAACCCCCGUUUGACAGCUUUAUAGAAAUCUGUCACUAAUGUUACUUGCUAUGUCUGCAUCCUCUGGGAACAAUUUUUUGGAUGACUUCAUUAAAUUGGGAGAGAAGUGAUACAUUUUAAAGUAUGCCAAAAUCUGUACUUGCACUUUCAUUGAAACAGAGAAUCACAGAAUGGUUUGGGUUUGGAAGGGACCUUAAAAGAUCACAUAAUUCCAAUCCCUCAGCCCUGGGGGACAGGGACACCUUUCAUUAGACCAGGCUGUUCAGAGCCCCAUCCAACCUGGCCUUGAACAUUUCCAGGUGUGCAGCAUCCACAACUUCUCUGGGCAACCACCAGUGACUCACCACCCUCACAGAAUUUAAGAAUUUAGUCCUAAUAUGUAUUCUAAACCUGUCCUCUUUCAGUAUAAAACUAUUACCCUUUUCCUAUCACUACAUGUGCCUGCUGUUUCCAGAAUAAACUCACUAAAUAUGAA